GAGCUAUCAGAGCAAGUAUCUCACUGGACUUCAUCCCAUUGGGUGCUGGCAGCAGUUCACAAUGAAAACUGGGAUCCUUGCAUCUAGGGUACUGUGCUGGCACCUUCCCUGCCAAGCAGUUAUAUUUACCAUGAGCUCCUGUUUGCAGUUUCUGAAGGAUCUGGAAGAAAUCACAACAGUGGAGGUUAUGAGGGGGGACAUAUUCCAGGCUUUUUGUUACCACGUCGCCUCUUCCUAGCAAAAUGGAUGUGCCAGUGGGAUUCCCUGAGUCGAUCCAGCUCUCAUGUUAACUCUGCUAAAGAGGUUUCAGUGGUUUCCAACUGGAAAUUGCUUGGAAAAUGAAGACAUGAUGACGUGAAUGUGUGUAACAGCAGGAGAAAUGUUGCAGUUCUCCAUAAUCUGUAAACCUGCAAGAUUUGUAGAAUCGUAUCUCUGUGGGAGCUCCUAGCCUUGAUGAGUGCCUCAGUGCACCUUGUGUGGGAAAUGGCACCUGCAGAUCCUCACCAGCUUCAUAGAGAUGGUGUUCAUGUGCAGUGGGGUUCUUUAAUGGUUGCUUAUUUGUUACUUACCUGGAGGCCCAGAGAAUUUGGCAUUUUGGCAGAAUUUCAGGGGUUUUUAUGUUUUCCUGUGCUGUUGAUUGUGCUGGGACUAACACCAAGUCGAUGGAGCACCUCCUUGGGUGGGCAGAGCAAAAGUCAGCACCCUCAGGAGAAAGCAUGUGAUGAGGAGGGAUGGCUUUCAUGUGGGAGACAGGGCAGAGAUGGAGGAAACCUGGCUCCUGCUGCAGCACCCUUCCCACUACCCUGA
rnacentral:lncRNA from 14 species